rnacentral:rRNA from 1 species
GACGUAGGAGGCGAGCGUUGUCCGGAUUCAUUGGGCGUAAAGAGCACGCAGGCGGUUUGGCAAGUCGGAUGUGAAAACCCGGAGCUCAACUCCGGGCGUGCAUCCGAUACUGCCCGACUAGAGGUAGGUAGGGGAGAUCGGAAUUCCUGGUGUAGCGGUGAAAUGCGCAGAUAUCAGGAGGAACACCGGUGGCGAAGGCGGAUCUCUGGGCCUUACCUGACGCUCAGGUGCGAAAGCUAGGGGAGCGAAUGGG